CUUUUACAUCGUUAUGGCCGCCCCGCACUUUUAUUAGCUUUUGAGCUAAUAAAAGUGCGGGGAGGAAAGUCCGAACACUUGACUCUUACAUGAGUUGUCGUGAUAGCGGCUAACGGCCGCCCCGAGUCGUGCAUGGCAUGGAAAUUCGAAAUUCGAAACCCUAAAUUCUAAACAAAUUCGAAAACUCAAAACUUCGAAAUUCAAAACGUUUAGGAUUUAGCAAUUAGGAUUUAGGAUUUGCGCGCUGUGCGCGGCCAAAGGUGAAAAGUAAUCCGCGAAGGAUUUCUCGUGAUUGGUAACAGUCACGAGUGGAAAACCCUAUCUAGUGCAAGGACAAACACCGUGCAUGGCGCGGAAAUUCGAGAUUCGAACCCCUAAAUUCUAAACAAAUUCGAAAACUCAAAACUUCGAAAUUCAAAACGUUUAGGAUUUAGAAAUUAGGAUUUAGUGUUUCCGCGCCGUGCGCGGUGACAAGUAGUCCGCUCGACCCCGAGAGUAAUCGAGGGGCUAGACAGAUGGCCAUACCGGCAAAUGAAAAUUUUGCCGAGAACAGAAUUCGGCUUAUGAAUGUAACAAGAUA
rnacentral:RNase_P_RNA from 1 species